AGAGUUUGAUCCUGGCUCAGGGUGAACGCUGGCGGCGCGCCUAAUGCAUGCAAGUCGAGCGUGCCCCAACUGCUUCGGCUAUUGGGGAAAGCGGCAGACGGCUGAGUAACGCGUGAGUAACUUACCCUUCGGUGGGGUACAGCCCCGAGAAAUCGAGGUUAAUCCCGCAUACGAUCCUUCCCCCUUGGGGGAAGGAUGAAAGCCUUCGGGCGCCGGAGGAGCGGCUCGCGUCCUAUCAGGUAGUUGGUGAGGUAAUGGCUCACCAAGCCGAUGACGGGUAGCUGGUCUGAGAGGACGACCAGCCAGAGGGGGACUGAGAACGGCCCCCACUCCUACGGGAGGCAGCAGCAGGGAAUUUUGGGCAAUGGACGAAAGUCUGACCCAGCGACGUCGCGUGGGGGAUGAAGGCCUUAGGGCUGUAAACCCCUUUUCCAAGGGAAGAGGAAGGACGGUACCUUGGGAAUAAGCUCCGGCUAACUACGUGCCAGCAGCCGCGGUAAUACGUAUGGAGCUAGCGUUACCCGGAAUUACUGGGCGUAAAGAGCGCGUAAGCGGCUGGGUAAGUCUCUUGUGAAAGCUCCCGGCUUAACUGGGAGAGGGCAAGGGAUACUACUCGGCUUGAGGGGCAUUGAGGAAGGCGGAAUUCCCG
rnacentral:rRNA from 1 species